UUCUGUGACACUUCAUAUACCACCUUUGUGAUCCCAAUUGUUUCCAAAUAAUGCUUUUACAGAGAAAUAUUUGGAAGAGAUUUCCCUGGAAAAAAAGGCAGAUUUUCAGCACACAAGGAAUAAGAGCUGUCCUUUUGUUCACUGGGAGCCAGAAUCAGCAGCUGUUUCUUACAGUAAAUACUGAUGGAGGGAAGGAAAAAAGUGAGGGUUUGAAUGUAGUUGGAAGAAGAAAAUCAUGUGAGAUCCUGGCCAAAAUUUCCUGUCUGCUCCAAGUCAGCUGCUCUUCGGUCAGUGCAGGUCUUACAAAUGCAGCCCAGGUGAGGUGUUCCUUGUGGCCACACUGCCAGUAGACCACAUGCCCCCACCUCAUGCCUUUACUCCAGGACUGAUGGCUGCUGACGUAAUGAUCCACAAGCUGGGAUCAGCACCUCUUCCUUAAAAAUUGAGUUAGUUUUUUUGUGGGUUUACAGUUUAUAUGAAGCUUUCUGAUCAUGGCCCAGAUGUUCUUCUGAGAGUCUUCUACAGUAAUUAAUGCUUGUUCUGCUGAAAGUCACUACUUCCAUUUGUGCACUAUCUUGCAACAUUCUCCCUGGAAAACGCAAAUUAUUUGUAUAUUAUGUUCAUUGCCACAGGGAAGGAAGAAGAACCAUGGAGCAGCUGAUGCAUUCUGGACGCUAUGGAGAGCAUUGAUGUUUUGAUUACAAAAUAGAACUUCACAAGCCAAGGAGGAGCAUGGAGUUGCCUUCCUGCAGCCUCUCUCACGCUCUUGUGUUCUUCCAUCACGCCCGUUAACAACUACACUAGAAACAAGCAGCAGAUUUUUUUCCACUCGAAAAGAUUUUUCAUGUGCUGAAGGGUAAAGUAACAGAAAAUUUGCAGAAUGGCCACAAGAAUCAUACAUAUCCUGGGAGACAUAUCUGUUAGAGAAAUUACUGGAUGAAGACAUUCACACACAUAGAUUGUGGCAAACAGUGGCGGUGACUCUGGCUGCAGAAAACACAGUGACCAUGCUCCUCCUCUCAGCCUUGCAGGCUGCAUACCUCUGCUGGAUCUCAUGCAUCUGUUGAAAGGAGAAACACCGUGACACAGACUGAUGUCAUACAGACUGAUGGGAUGCUUGGGAGGACUGGAGGCUGAAGCAAAACAUGAGGACCUGUGUGGCUGCACAAUGACCUUGGAUCAAGAGCGACACCCCAGGUGACACCCCAACCACUUGCAUGGAGCACAAGAGAAACCGUGAUGAGGAUUGACCCAACAGAGUGUAGUGGCUCCCCUGGAUCUUACAGAGGCCUAUUGAGAUCUAUAGAUCUGUAUUCAAGGACUCCCGAAUAGAUCUCAUGACUGGCCUGACAAACCACGGCUGCUACAAAGGAGACACUGCCAGACACUGUAAAUCUGUUGCAGACCUCGUGUAGCUGAGCGUCGCCUUGCAGGCUGCCCCAUGUGCAAUGCCACACCCAGGAGCUGAAAGUAAACCCAUGGAGUGCUGGAAACCAUAUAAACGAUUGGUAACACAUGCAUAAAAAAGGCAGGCUGAUGAUCUAUGGGAUUUUCUUUGUUGAAGCAACCACAGCCUAAAGCCUGGUCUGUUAAAACAACCCUGCAGGUUUGUCAGUCUUCAAAUGCAGGCUGUAGGCACAGCAGAUAAGGGGAUUUCUGUGUUCUUGUUAGAAAUAUAAAUGAAGUCUUAGAGAAUCAGACUGGUUCUGUGGUUGAAUAUGAAUAGAAGUAAACACACUUUAAAGUAUUUUAUACCUGGUUGCAUGUCAAGGCUAAGCUCCAACUUUUUGUACAGAAUGGCAACAACAUCGGUUCUCUAUCAUUAUAAGAUCUCUGUGCGUUCUGUUCUCUUCUCUGAAACCUCAGUCAUUUUUGAUUGACAGGAAGAUUACCUAAUAAACCUUCCCCACAAACUAAUUAAUCACUGUGAAUACAACACUAAAUUGGCAAGCAUAAAAAAGCAAAUGAGAUGGGUGUUGAAGACCGUUUUCAAAUGACCUUAGUUGAAAGCCAAGUACAGAGUGCUAAAAGCAUCAGUAACGUAAGGCUGCUGGUAAACUUCUUCACUGGGGUAGGUGGCUUCACCCACUGUGAGGGUGGGCUGUGAUGUCAGGACAUGAUCAGAAAGGAGCCCAUCCAAUUGAUGGGACUGAGACACCACCUCUCCAAAUAGAGCUUGGGAGGUGGACCUCCUUUAUAGCUCUUCUGCCCUUUUUUUGCAGCUAUUGAUAGCAAAUACUUCUCACAAAUUGAGUAUUGUUACAGUCAUUAUUAUUGUAAUGCAGAAAUCCCAGUGUGCCCAUAAGCUUUAUUUCACAACCAGAGGGCUCCUCGGCACACGGCCUUGCGAGCGCCUCCUCCCCAGACACAGGUUUCAUCAAGAUAAAGUCAUCACAGUGUGAUAUUCCUGACAAGUGUAUCAAAGUCUGAGACUUAGGUCAACAUGAGAUCUUAGUUCUCCACUUUCUUCUUUAUUUUCUGAUGAUUAAAUACCAUGCAUUGCCUUAUUUAUGGCUCAGGUAUAGGGCACACUAGCAUCACGGCAGGAAAUGCAGUUGCCAACUCUUUCAGCCAGGAGAAAGCUCUCCUGGGUUUGUUCUACUGGGGCUACUCAGAGAGGCCAACACUAGGCUUUGCUUGGGCAGCAGAGCAGGACAUGUGGCCUCUGCCAUGUGGGGAGCAGAGCUUAGAAAUUCAGAAGGAAAUGAAAACAAAACCACGACAGUGAACAAAACCAGUGUGAAGGGUAUGGCGUUUUUGGUGGGGUUUUUUUUUUUCAGCAGAUGUAGGAAUCAAGAGUUGUGUUUCUAUCUGUAAUUACUGACUGCUGAAGCCUGUUUUGGUAUGCUUUCAGCUUAACAUCAGCACCAUGUUUCAGUAACGCAUUACUUUAUCCAUUCACCCUGCAAGUGGAGCAACACAGGCUCUCUCCCCUGCAGUUCCCAAAUGGGUAUCCACAAACCAUCUUAGGGGCUGGCUAACUUUUUGUUCCUGAUCUUUUUCUUCUUUUACUUCUCCUGCACAAACCAAUGGCAGUUACUACCCUGUGCCUAUGGGCAGAUAGGAACAGUGAAUAACUGGAAUCCAGCUGGUGCUUCUGCUUUUCACUUAACGUUUGAAUAGCACUUAAAAUAAUAAUCUAAAAUGUGCGGCCUUUGAACUGCCUUCCCCUCCAGCUUUGUGGGGCUGUACAUGAGCUCAAAGGGAGCCAAGCACAAUGGGCAUUUACCGGGCAAGAAAUCUUCAGUGAGGCUCAAAACAAACUCAGCCUGAGCCAGAUGGCUGGUUUUCUCCAUAGCAUUUGCAUCUUAUUCCCUUCUCCAUCCCACAGGUUCAUGUGCACACUUGGUCCCAUGGCACACUCCUCUGCACAAGCUACAUCUCAUCACCAACCACAACCAUUGCCCUGCACAACAAGGGAUGGCAAUGGCAUGGCUGCUGCUCUCCAGCCGCUGCUCAGCCUCCCACAGCCCCCCCUUCUCUUCCCCUGCCAGCCCCUUCCCCUCCCUGCUUCCAUCCUGACUGCUCAGAGGCAGCAGAGAGAGGGAGAAAGGAAUUAUUUAUUGUAUGCCUGUUGAAAAUGAAAGGCUUUUACAUUUUAAUGAGCACUAAAUAGGAGCGAGGAAAUAUUGUUCAUUAGCUGUAAUCUGUGGAAUUGCUUGAGUGAACUUCCUUUGGAGGCCGCUUUAAACGGUUCACUCAAGUAAAGCAGUUUGUAUGGUAAUUAAGGGAGCAUUUUUCUGUCAACAUCUGUGCCGCUAUUUAUAACGCUGAAGGUAUCUUAUUACUCCACCAGAGAAACAUUAAAGAGGAUGGGCAGAGGGAUGUUGUAUUUUUUUAAAAUAUAUAUAUGUACGUAUGUGUGUGUGUAUAUAUAUAUAUAUAUAUAUAUAUAUAUAUAUAUAUAUAUGCAUAUAACGUUUCUUUCUCUCUUCAAAACCUCUCCCUUUCUCUUGCUUCCUUUUUCCUUUCUUAUUCUCUUCCCGCUACCCCUCAAUUUGCCAAGAAAAACACCCUGUCCAGUGUUUUGUGAUAGUAAGGAUUAUCAUCCUGACAUCUUUCCAUUAAUCAUAGCCUUUGUUCAGCAGCCAGGCAAGGAGACUCAAUCUGCUCAGCAAAAACAAGAGGCCCAUGUCUUUGGAAACCACUCUCAUCUCUCAUCACUCCACAGUACUGGAGAUGCCUUUUGGCUGCAUUAUCAUGGUGUCCCUAGAGGGAUGGCACAACAUGGCUGUAUCCUCAGUGCAUCCCUCUGGGAAGCCUAGCCCAAGCUGCUGUUGCGCUGCAGGAGUGGCGAGCGGUUGCAGGGGGAAAUAACCUUUCUCAUGUUUGGUCUCAUCACAAUGAGGUUGAUACUUCAAUUUUCUGCUGUAAGGCUGCUUGGGAGAAGAGUUUGGGUACUAAAAAUGGACUUAUUUUUCUGCAUACAAAAAUAGAAAUAUGUGUGUUUUCAUUUGAUUGGUGGUUGGACUUGCUGACCUUAAUGGUGUUUUCCAACCUUUAUGAUUCUAUGAUAACACUGACCAUCUCACCCUUGAGCAGCCUGUACCAUACCAGUGCAAUACGGAGCCAUCACCAGGUAUUGUUUUAUUCUACUUAUUCCAUCUUUGUUUUUCCCUGUACUUACAACAAUGAAGUUUGCAUCCUGAAUGCAGUUCUUCACUUAGAAUAUGGCAAAUGUUGUCCUGAAAACUGGUAUCGCUAAGGUGGAGAUGGAUGUCACACAAUGCCUCUGAGACCAGUUGGCUCACAGUGUUUCCUAAGUAGCUAUGAGGCAUCUCCUGUUCUAGUUGUGUUCAAUUCCCACUUUCCCAACCCUAAAGAUCUUUCUGCUUCCUUUCUCAUUAUCUGGAAGCUUUGUUUUUGCCUCUGCUGCUUUCUUUCUUCCUUUAGCCUUCUGAUGUUAAUUUCUUCCUCCCCACAGCUAGACCCAAUCUGGGGAUUUUGCAUGGGUUUUUCCUGGGUGUUCUGCAUACAUACUGAGAAAGCUGUGAAGAAGAGAGAGGACCAUUCAUUCAGUGCUAUGAAGGUUUUACUUGGUGCAAUGGAAAAUAUAAAAAUAAAUAAAUAAAUAAACCUUCCAAUAUACGUGGAAAAAUGCAAGUAGAGCUAAAGCUUGCUAGAGUGCACCAAAAGCACUGCCCUAUAUAAAUUAAAGAUGCUUUGCCAGAGCCAAUAACUUUUAUAGAUUUUUCUUUACCUGUAAUGAAGGAAAAACAUAAAUGACUAUCAUAAAAAGUAAACAUUAGAAAUAGAAAAUCCCUUUUACAGCAUUCAGUCCAUCUUUCUGCUAAUAACAACUUGUUCCCUAUAGUAUAUUUUUCCAGUGAUUCCUCCAGUCUAGUGUUAAACAUUUCUAGUGUUUCUAGGGCCUUGCUGCUCCCUUGAGAGGCAGUCUGAAAGCCUUGUGCAUUUCAAUGUCAGGAAGUUUUUCUCAGCAACUUCAAUUUUCUCUGUCUAUAUUUCUUCCUGUUAGUGUUAGGAUGUCUCUAUAAUUAGUUCUGUUCAUUUGAAUUUUUUUAGUGAUGCUCUUUAGAAGGUAUGUGCAUUGCAAUUCUGUAUCACCAUUUCACAGCUACAAAGCAAGAUUUCCAACUGCGCUUUUUUUUCCUAAAUUGUUAUUGAAUUAAUUUAAUUCAUAGGUAGCAUUUCCUUAUUGUUUGCAUCCUAUUUAUAGCAAGAAAACUUAUGGUAUCACCAGGCUUAACACCACUGCUCUUUUAUUUUGAUGGGUAACCAAAUUGCAAGACCCUGACAUCUGCUAUUUUUGAUAAAGGGCCAAUGCUGGUUUCAGAAACAGAAGUGCUUUCAAAGAGAAAAAAUGCAGACAGAGAUCAAAUAAUGGAAAGCAAAACUUCUAUUAGCAAGUAAUAGAACCCCAAUACAAAAAGGGUGACAUUUUUCAGAAGAAAACAAAUGAGUAAAAGUGUCUAAUAAAUGAGAAACUUAUCUUAUAGAAGAUAGAAUCAUUGGUUUGAAAAGACCACUAAGAUCAUGUAGUCCAUCCAACCACCAACCCAUCCCCACCAUGCCCACUAAUCAUAUCCGUCAGUGCCACAUCUCCACAGUUCUUGAAACACCUUCAGGGUUGAUGACUCCACCACCACCUCCCUGGGCAGCCUGUGCCAGUGCCUCACCACUCUUUCUAAGAAUUUUCCUCCUAAUAUCUAACCUGAACCUCCCCUAGUGCAACUUAAAGCCAUUCCUUCUCACCCUAUUGAUCUUAUUACCUCUCACAAGGUGCAUGGACAACUGUCUGAUAGUAUGAACACUGUCAGGAGCAAAGCAACACAGUGCAUGUCUUUGCUGAAUUGGAAGAAAGCAAAAAAAAAAAAAAAAAAAAAAAAAAGAAAGUACUUAUUAAUCAGGAAGCUGCCAGAAGGCAGUGUUUGAUUAUUGUGUCCAACCUUCUAUGUAUCACAGAAUUUCAGAUUUGCCAUGGAUCUCUUAUGAAUUUGGUUUGACUAAAGCAGAACUUCCUAGAGUUACCCAAUUUUGAUUUAUUUAAUUUCCUUUAGUGUUUAAACUUUUCAAGUAUCUUCAGCUAAGCUUACAGUGCCUGAGGGCAACUCCAGAGGAUAUGUAAAGACCUCCACUUGGUUACUAUUGGCUGUAAUGUUAGAAUUGUCUACCCUGGUGAUAUAGGACUAAAACAGAAGCUUGCCUAGUAAUUGGUUAACUGUACCUUCUGCAAAGCACAUUUUAUUUAUUUUCAUUAAGUAUUGAAUUCAACCUAGUUGUUUAAUACCUUUUAUUUAAGAGGCUUUGCAGUGAGAUAAAAGAAAUACUAGAGAAAAAGCAGGAGAGGAGGAAAAUAACUCUUUACAGUAAUUGCUCACUAUCACUUCAAUUUUAUUAGUGGUGAAAACAAGAAACAACUUUUAAGCAUGUCAGAUACUCCUACCUCUUACUUCUGUUAAGGUAAGUAAACUGUAUUUUAAAAAUAUCUUCCUUCUUAAAUUGUGACAAAAUUAUUUCAGCACUAUAAAGUAUGGUCUCAUAUGGUGUCAUAUAAAAGGCAGCAUCACAGACUGCUCUAGUUCUGCAUCAACAGUGCAUCAUCUCCUUCCAGAUAAAGUCUUACAUGUGAGCUUAUCUUUGGAUAUGAAGUUGAAUGGAAUUUAAGUUCAUGGAGAAUCUUUAAUGCUUUGCUGAGUGAGAAUGCAUUUUAGUAGAUCCUUAAGUACUUUUCUCAAGAGGUUUUACCAUGCAUAAGACUUCUUAAAAGGCCCUUCUGAGUUAAAAAUACCUGAAGUUCUCUCUAAUGAGGAUGUAUAGCAUUCUACUCAAGGUAAUCAAGACUUAUGACAUCACAUAUUUUAAAAUUCUUAUUGGGAAAGACAGAAAAGUCUUACAGUUGAUCAAAUAAGGGAACGUUCGGAUGGAAGAUAGAAACAGAGGAGGAUUGCAGUACAGUAAAAGUGCAUAAGCAUCUCUUAGUGAACUUCUGCAUUUAUAAUUUUCUUUAUCUGUAACGUAUUUAAGUGUAAGCUCUUUAAGGUGGGAAUUCAUCAUUCUGAGUAUAUAUGAGAAGCCUAAUGUGGUUCAGGGUGUGUUUUAAUAUUUAACAGCAGAUCAUUUUCUGCAGAUGUUAUAGAAUUUAUUGUCAUGAUAUGCGUUGUUAUUUAUUACAUAUCUCAACAAUACAGUAGACGCAGACCAACAGGCAAUUUGGGCAAUUAAUCAUAGUAUUUUCCAAAGAUCUAAAACAUUCUGUGCUUUUGGAAGGUAUUUCUGAGGCUUUCCAGGUAGUGCACCAUUAACACAUGACGGGGCAUGUUUCAGAGGUUCAUUAACACAUGUUGUAGAUGUGCAGCCUCAUGCAUUCAGCCACCUGAGGCAUGCAUUAAUGGACCAUUAAAACAUGCCCAGGAGUGUCUUAAUGCUAUUACAGUGUGGCUCUGCAAUUUUUAAUUCAGCUUUUUUAUAAAACGAUUCUUUUCCAAAAUACAAUUUUUACUAUAUUGCAAAACCUCUACUCAGAAAAGAAAGAGGUAUUGUGACCUAAGAUUAAGAAGGCACCUGGACAUGGAUAUAAAUACCUUUUUUUCUACCAUUUUAAUACAUUUGAUUUUGAUUUUAUAUUGUUUUAUAAAUAGCAUAGUCCUAAGGCCUGAUUCACGUUUUUGCUGACCUAUCUUCCCACUGCUCAGGAAAUGUAAAAGAGUCUUAAAGUGCCAUAAAUGUAAAUUGCAUCCCCAGACUACUUAGCUUAGUUGCUAAUUUCAAUAGACAUUUCUAGGUUUCUAGGUGAGUAACUCUUGAACAGCUUUGGAUUUCUGUGGAGAAAAAAACAAAACUGGAAACCCAAGCAGUUUGACAAAUAAGUUUUGCUGUAGAAGGCUAAAACUAGGAAAGGGAAAAGGGGUUAUACCACAGGUGGACAAGCUGCUCACACCUUCAGUAACGUGCUGUUACAGAUCACAGUUUCACAUUCAGUUACACAUCUCAACCUUGGCUGAAUUCAUUCUAAAAUAAUCAACUAUCCAUUAUUAUUCUUAUUUUAUGAUUUCCGUACGCCAGUAAUACAAAUAAUGUUAUCUUUAUUAUAAUCCAGUGAACUGCUGUCCUUGUUUUCAUAAUAAUUCCCUCAUGAGCACAAAGUGCAGGCUGUGGAGCAAACCACUUCCCCCCAUGUCAGCCUCCACUUCAUUUAAAAGUUGGGAGCAGCAUAAAGAGCUUGGAAGUGCUUGAACCAGCUGAAGAAAAUUUCUUUAAUGAUAGUGCCCUGAAAGAAGGCCAUAGGCCACACUUCAAAAAAUUCACCAUCUGACCCAAAACAAAAUAUUAUUUCAGGUCAAUUUUAACAUUGCUUUUAGAUUUUGCUUUUAUGUAUGUGUUUAUUACUGCUGGCCAUCUCAUUUAAUGUGUGACAGCCAGCAGUCAUGUUGAAAUGAUGUAUUGCAACACAUUGCUCAAAAAAGAUUGUAAUUAUAUAUCAGAGCAUUUUUUUUUCCAUGUUUCUUUCAAAAAAAGCUAUUUAAGAAAAUUCUUUUCCUCUUUCUAAAUUAGCUUUUUGACAGAAAAAGUUGCUGUGAAACUCCAUAUUUGGGCUAGUGUAGCUUAGAGCCGUGUAUUCAUCAUCAUUAUCAUAAUAAUAGCAUUACACCAUUAUUUUACAUACUCUUCCUCCUCUAACAUAUAUAAGUACAGUGCACUGUAAUUUGUAAAUACUGUGCUUUCAAUCAGCAGUGCUUGAGCAGGAGCUUCAGAAUAAGGUUGGGUCUAACCAAAGCAUCAUCAUAGGCUAUAAUAUGCUCAUCGACCAUGGGUCCUCCAUGUUCACCAGGGCACAGGCAGAAUGUGGGAUGAUAUGUGGCUGAAUCAUUGGUGGGAAAUUGCAAGGAUCUGGGAAGCUCUUCUGAGAGCUGUGUUGUUUGUCAGUCUUGGAGAAGGAAGAUCUGAGCAAGAGCCUUAGUUCGAUGAUCCUCAACUUUAUACUUGAGAUCUGAGGGCUUCUCUUCUGUGUUGUCCUUCCCCAUGCCAAUUUCAAGUGUGAGGAGUUCUUAAACAAGCUUUUUUGAAAGAAAGAAGAAGGGUGGUACUUGUUUUCAUUCAUAAGCAGAGCAAGGGGAUGUAACUGGAUGUAGUGCAAAACUUCUGUCAGCAAAUAAAAGGAAAAGGCCGUUGGAGUCAGUGCAUAUGUGCUGCUCAGUGAAUAUGGCAGCAUUGGUGGCUGUCACCUUCAGGUUGAGUUUGUAGUAAUUACGUUUUCCAGUCAUAUGGAAAUCCCUCAAAAUUACACAUGUGCAGAAACUUCUCAUGUUGUAUAUUUUCACAGGGAAUUCUAUAUACAUAUGAUCUGCAAAGAACUUGUAUUAAUUUAAAACUAUUUGAAGACAAUGUUUGCUUGGAGCAAGAAUUAGAGUCAGUACUAGUUAAGCACAUACAACUAGGAACUGUGGGAUAUAGAGUUUAAGCCUGUAGCUGCCAGAAUUAAAUCUAAUUCAUCGUUAAACACUUCAUCUUCCUCUACAGCAUAGGUAAAAGGUCAUACACUCCAAAAAUAUGAUCCAGAAAGGGAUAAUGUGGAGAGGGAAAUCCAGAUCUAAUAGGCUUUGUAAUUCCCUCUUCUGGGGAGAACUAUGUCACUGAUACAAUUUGGACUCUCUUCUGGCAAGUAGUAAUAGUAGCUGAUGUUAAACUUUCAACAAUCACUGGCUUUGCUGAUGUGUCGGGCCAAAAAAAAAACCUACGUUGUUUUGAGAAAUUUGUUUUGGCGAUGCAGACCAACAAACAAAAUGAUGAUAUUUUCUUCUAGAAGGAAAAUGAAUUGGUGUUUAAACAUAAAUUCUGGCUGGUAACAGAGAAACAGCAGAAGAGGUUGUAAUGCAAACAAUUAAAGAUCUUUCUAAUCUAUAAUUCAUGUCUCAGCAUCUGCUGGAUCUGACCAUAAGGAACAUCUAAAAGAUUUUCUUCCUGCCCCAUUGGUUCUCCCAUUCUUUCACAAUUCAGUUUAUGUAUUGUGAUGGAUUCUGUGCUCAGUAUUGACUGAGAACCUGACCUGGCUCCUGUUGAAGACGGUGGCAGGACUCCCAUUGACUUUGACGGCAGAUGGAUCUGAAGUGGAAUGUGAAUGAGCAGAUAUGUUCUAUAUUAAAGAAGAGCAUCGGAUGAUUUUGGGAAGAAAAAAAAGAAAAAAAAAGUAAUGCUUGAAAGUUUUCAGAGCAGAUGAGAAAUAAACAGACCAAGCACCUCAGCCUGGAAUGUCAUCUUCAUCUGUGAAUCAGAAUUUGGACCUGCUGCUGAUGAGUUGGAAAAGCAAUUGUGGCAUGAACAAUGAGACUUUGGGUUGACAGCCUAGGGGAGCUAUUCGACAGCUUCACAGACAGGCUUCCCAAUGUAAAUGAAGAUGAGAAAGUGCAUGAAAAAUCGAUCAUGCACUAGAGACAACACUUACUUCAUUAACUACCUUCAGCACUAACCUCUUGAACACUGUUAGUAAACCUAUUAUGUCACAGCUGAGAUGCAGCUGAAGAUUUUGCUUUGAGAAUUUAAACAAAGCUAUAUAAGAACACAAACCAGAUUAAAAAGUAGUACCAUAUAAGUCAACUGCUAGUUGCUGACAUCAGUAAAAUAUUGUCUGUUACUAUCAGGAAACAUGGGAACAAUGAUUAAAAUUUCCUAAUAUUGCAGUAAAAUUUUUAGCUGUUACCUGGAAAAAGAAAAAAAAAAAAAAAGAGAGAGAGUAUUCUGCAGUGUGUGGAAUGCAAAUAUUUCUAAUAAGUGCUGUCAUGUGACAGGGAUACUAACAAGAACUUCUUAGAGCUGAGGAUCUGUUUUUGGAAUUUGCUCAGGUAAGUAAUGAAAAUACAUAUAUAGAUAUACAGUCAUACAAGGGCUUCUCCAAAAGUAAUGCCUCCUGUUUUAAUAUGUUGACCCACUAUGUCAGAGGCAGAUAUUGGUGGUAUAACAGUAGAGGUUGAAGCUUCCCACCAGUAUCCCAUUACAUGCUGUUGCUGUGUGCCAUAUAGCAGCAGAAGGGCAGUCUGACGGAAUGGCAUCUGACAUGCAAGUGCAUAUGAAGCGAAUGAGUGUCAUGAGUUUCCUCCAUGUGGAAAUCACUGCACCCACUGACAUUCAUUGACACAUGCUGUGAUUGUCCAUGGAGACUGAAAGUAAAUGUGAACACAGUGAGGUGGUGAGUGGUGCAUUUCAGCAGUAGCAACGGCAACAGUGGGUCGUCUCUACUGAUGUAGAUUGUUAUGAGCGUAGCAUGCAGGCUCUUGUUCAUUGUUGGUGAAAAUGCAUAGCUAAUGGCAGUCACUGUAUUAAAAAAAAACAGAGCUUUGUAGUUGAGACUUUGUCUAUCAAUAGUUUUGUUGUGCUUUUUGUAUCUGCUGUUGUUUCCAUAGAAAUAAAUAGAAGGCAUUACUUUCAGAGUGACCUAUUUAAAUUUAAUACGGGAACACUGAGUCUUUAUGGCAUUCAAAUGGAGAUAAGUGAUCUAAAUUCUUUU